rnacentral:rRNA from 1 species
GUAGUCAUAGCUAUAAACGAUGUUCACUAGAUGUCGGGGCUUCGCCUCGGUGUCGCAGCUAACGCAUUAAGUGAACCGCCUGGGAACUACGGCCGCAAGGUUGAAACUCAAAGGAAUUGGCGGGGGCCCGCACAAGCGGUGGAGCAUAUGGCUUAAUUCGAUGCAACGCGAAGAACCUUACCAAGGUUUGACAUGGAUCUGCAAGCGGUAGAAAUAUCGUCGCCUUCGAGGGUGAUCCACAGGUGGUGCAUGGCUGUCGUCAGCUCGUGUUGUGAAAUGUUGGGUUAAGUCCCGCAACGAGCGCAACCCUCAUGUUCUGUUGCCAGCGUGUAAUGACGGGAACUCGGAACAAACUGCCUCUGUAAAGAGGA